rnacentral:misc_RNA from 1 species
CAACCCUCAGAGCCCGCUCGCGGGAUCUGGUGUUGGGGAUCGGCCGUCCUAGUGGCGGCCGGCCCUGAAAUGGAGUGGCGGUCACGUCGCGACCUCCUCUGUGUAGUAGUAAUACCUCGCAGCUGGAUAGCGGCGCGGCCACGCCGUAAAACCCCCAAACUUAGCAA